AGAAGCAAUCAAGGGUGCAUUUACACCUGGCUUGACAGGUGUGGGACCUCACCUGAACCCUGGAGUGGAUUGAACAAACAAAACACGGACAAAAGUCUGAAUGUUCAGGGCGUUUCUGCAGACCAAAGAAACAAACAGCUUGAGCAUCUUCAGUGACAAGACGACGAAAAGCAUUCCCACUAGCAUCAUCGCAGAUUAUAGCUCCUUCAUGAAGAUGACAGACACGGCCGGAGAAAAAUCUGACACCCAGGAGCCGGACAACUCCCAGAUGAAGGAUUUGGACGCUUCGGAGUUUGAGGUGACGGCCGACCGCCUGGAGCAGCUGAUGAAGAGCAUGGAGGUGCUCCUGUCGGACGUGGAGCAGCUCCGCGGCCACUGCAGCCACCAGGCCGGCGAACUGAUGCGCGCGGCGGGGGAGCUGAGGCAGCAGCAGGACGAGCUGAAGGAGAGCUACGCGGAGCUGUCCAAAGAAAUGCAGGGGAUAGUGGAAUCAGUGGAGGACCUGUUCAACACCAAGAGCGCCUUUGAAGCCAAAGAGAAGCAAGCGCAGAAGCUGAACCGGCAACUCUGAGAGGCAGACGGCGAGACUUUGUUUGUAAAACACUGUGGGGAGGUGGUUUUGGCUUUUGGGGUUUGUGAGCGCCACUUUGAAAAAGCAAAGGAAGCUUUGUGAGAUUUUCACAUGCAGUAGAUUAUAAUUUAUUUUUUUAAUCUACAUCUGAGACGGAAACAGAAUUUAAUGGGAAGAUUUAGUAAACUUGUGAAUCUGGAAGUUAAUAAAAAAAAAGAUCAAAUACUGAUUUAUGUCUUUUAUGGUAUUUUUUUUCCAUGUAAGGGUAAUUUUGCCAAAAGAGGUACAAUUGUAUGGAGCUAAAUUAGGGCCAAUAUCAUUUGAAACUCAAAUAUAAAAAAAUGAUUAAAAAAUAUUGGUGUUUGUCCAAAAAGAAAGCAAAAUGUUCAAAUUCUUUUGCUACUCUAAAAUAAACUUAAUUAUUUUCAGCUUCAAAUGUUUUUUUUUUAGGUUUCAAACUGAAAAUUUAAAUUCCAUUUUUUUUUUUUUUUGGUUCAAAUCUUCUUUUUUUUCACUUUCAACUCUAUUUUUUCUUUUUUUUUUUCAUUUUGAAAUCUGAAAACUAAACUUUUGGCCCCGUUGUGGCGCAUUGGGGCGGGGCUAACACAACGUUCUAAGGACAUUAAAGUUUUCAAUGUUUUCUUAUUUUUUUGUGCCUGUAUGUAACACAAUAAGAUGGCGCUUUGAAUGGGCUCGAACGGUGGUUUGGAUGUGCGGUUUGUACACGACAAAACUCUGCUUUUUACAACCGUCUUGGGAUAACCUCACACUAUGAUAGUAGAGACUAAACAACCAUUUUCUGACCGUAAUCAUCACAGUUCUCAGAGUCAAUGAAUGCACCAGGACUGAAGUUACCACCCUCAUCGAUUUUGAUUGGCCAUUUAUGUUAGCUCCGCCCCAAUGUGCCACAGCGGGGCCAAAAGUUUGAAACUGAAAUUUUGAGAUUACACAGUGAAUAAAAAAGGAUUUGAAACUGAAAUUUUUAGUUUUGAAACCUGAAAAACAGAACAUUUGAAGCUGAAAAUAAAUAAAUUUAUUUAAUUACCUUUUUUUUUUCUUGGCCAAAUACCAAUAUUUUUUUCAAUUUGUUUUAUUUGAGUUUCAAAUUAUAGUGGCC
ensembl:lncRNA